rnacentral:lncRNA from 1 species
UUUUUUUUUUUUUUUUUUUAAUUUUACGGUUGCACCCGUGGCACAUGGAAGUUCUCAGCCCAGGAAUUACAUCCAAGCCUCAGCUGUGACCUACAUCACAGCUGUGGCAACCCACUGCACCAGGCUGGGGAUCAAACCUGUGCCUCUACAGUGACCUGAGCCAUUUGCAGUUGGAUUCCUAACCCACUGUGCCACAGCAGGAACUCCUGGUGAUUUUUCUCUAAUGUGGAUCCACAAGAAAAUCUAGAGUUGUACAUGACGACUACUGUGCACAAAUAAACACACUUUAUUUUUAAAUGGAUAAAUCAUACAAGGUUGACUCGACAAGUCAAUUUCAUCACUUGUAGUUCAACUCUUGCAUAGACUUUUACCUGGAGGAGGAAUAAAUCGCAUGCAUCAUAACGUUAACAAGUCACUUCUAAAAGCAACUUUUAAAAAUCAAAGAAUUAAACUGAUAAAAUCAUGUGUUUCCAAUAGAACAGCAGUGAUGGAAAUAAAUUUCAAGUCGGAAAAUAAGCAGAGAGGAGAGGAAACACAAGACAAUCAAAAUGUCAAGGAUCUACUAUGUGCCACUUAAUUCCUAUCAAAUCAAAUGAUCACACCUCUGAGAGAGAGAGAGAAGUACCCUGAAGGAAACAGACACCAUUGUGCAAGAGUCUACAUAAAGAAGCCACACCAAUUUGAGAGCUCUACAAAAACACAGCAGCCAGAGAGUCUCCCUGGAAGCCUGAGCAUGAGUGGUUGUUAACCAGGCAAAGGAGGAGAGGCAGUAAAGGGGACAGGAGUGGGGAAGGUGGCAGGAAGCACAGAGCAGGAAUUCAAGUUGGAAAGAAGAACAAGCCAUGCCUUGACGACAACAGGAAACAGCUGAUAAAUUAGGAGCAAGAGGCAUAGUACAGGUACUAGGCCAUGUUGGACUUAACUACAGGCUACAUUUUAUAGAAGGGACCACGGCAAGGAAUUGAAGGGUCUUAAGCAAGACAAUGGCAUGAUUAAAUGUGUUUCUAAAAUAGCAUUCAAGUUAGUGCGUGCAGAAUGGACUGAUGGGUACCAGAGUGAAUGCAGGAGAAUCAGUUAGGAUGUUAUCACAAUGACCCAAGUAAGAAAUGGCAGUAAUCCCAACUAAUUAUGAUGACAUUAGAGGUAGAGAAAAGUAGAUGAGUCAGAGAGAAAUGCAGGGAUAAAAUAAACAUGGCAAAACAGCAAUGGAUUAGAUCUAUAGUAUAAGGGAAAGAAGAAACGUAUAACUAGACAGAGGAUGGUGCUAAAAAAGGAUCAGCCCAUGGGUGGGAGUCAGGGUUGGAGAGAGACUGAACCUGCUACUGGACAUGAUAAGCUUAAGAUGUAUUUAAAACAUCUUAUGAAGAUGUGACGUCAACAGGCAGACAACUUUCCCAUGGUCCCCCAUGGCAGUCAUCAGUUUACAGGUGAAAAAAAUGAAGGCCAAAGAUGACAAGGCAUUUGCCUAAGACAAACCAUUUUGACUAGAAAGCCAAGAUCCUUCCACCACCCAUCAUUGCUGUGGUAGCUAAGAAUAUCUACACAUUUGGGGAAAUAGCCUAAGAAAAAUAAAUGAAUACAAAGAUCUAAAAUGAUCACCUACUUUCUAUCCCAUUUCCUGAACAUUAUCAUACAGAGUAGCACCUGAUUUGGGGACCUAGGGGGUCUGUGUUUAGGAAGAAGCUAGAAGUAGAAUGCCGGUAACUAGAAAGAUAAAAUUUAAAAAAGCAACAAUUCAAGACAUAUGAGUAAAUUAGGACUGCUGACAUCCCACUUAAUACAAGAGUCUCAUCUAGAGACAGGUGGUUCCUCAAAGUUUGAGAACUUCACAAAGCCAUUCUUCAAACCAGCCUAGAUUUUUUUUUAUACUAUCUAACUACUAAAAGCACAUAUAACGCAACUCUACGAGGAUUAUUAAAGAAUAUGGCAUAUAUAUGUGUGUGUAUAUAUAUAUAUAUAUGUGUGUGUGUGUGUCUUAUUUUUGUAUCCAUUCAGCCAGUCCAGGUCUUGGUUGGAGGCUUUAAUGAGUUUACAUUUAAGGGUAAGUAUUGAUACAUAUGUUCUUUAUGCCAUUUUAUUCUUUGCUUUGGUCGGUCUUUUUUCUUCCCUUGUUCUCUUCUCUUGUGGUUUGAUGUCUAUCUUUAGUGUUGUGUAUGGGUUUCUUUUUCUUAUUGGUGUAACUACUGUACGCUUUUGGUUUGCAAUUACCCCGAGGUUUGGAUAUAGGAGUCUAUAUAUAUACACAAGAUAAGUUGUUGACCUCUUAAUUGCAAGUGCAUCUCCAGUAUCCUGCAUUUGUACCCUCCUCGUCUCAUGAUUUCUGGUUUGGGUAGUGUACUUGUCUGUGGAUGAUUUCGUUCCUUUACUAUAUGUAUGCCUUACCCGUGAGCCUUCUCAUUUGUAAUUUUCUUGUUUCUAGUUGGGGUUUUUUCUUUUCUGCCUGGAGAAGUUCGUUUACUCUUUCUUGUAAAGCUGAUUUAGAGGUGCUGAAUUCUCUUGGCUGAUAUACUGUAUAAAGGAGAUGUGGUACAUAUAUAAAAUGGAGUAUUACCUAGCCAUAAAAAAGAAUGAAAUCAUGCCAUUUGCAGCAACAUAGAUGUUCCUAGGGAUUACCAUACUAAGUGAAGUUAGUCAAACAGUGAGAAACAAUCGCCAUCUGAUAUCACCUACGUGGUGGAAUCUUAAAAAGGAUACAAAUGAACUUACUGUAGAACAGAAACAGAUUCACAGACUUUGAAAACAAACUUUUGGUUACCAAAGAGGACAGGUGCAGGGGGUGGGCAUAUGCACACUGUGGUAUAUGGAAUUACUGGCCAAUGGAGAUCUGCUGUAUAGCACAGAGAACUCUACCCAAAGUUCUGUGAUAAUCUAUGUGGGAAAAGAAUCUCAAAGAGACUGGACAUGUGUGCAUAUAUAAGUGAAUCACAGCAGAAAUUAUCACAACACUGAAAAACAGCUACACUAAAAUAAAACUUAAAAAAAAAGUACAUAUAUAAAGCAUUUUAAGACGGCACAAGCCAAGAAAUUACAGUAAGCAUUUAAACACAAUUUCACUCCUUGUUUUCUACACGUUCUAAAUGAUUCCCCAGUUUGGGAAAGGAUCUGGGGUGGACCCUGCUUCCUGAGGGACCCUGGCAAAGACUUGGAGUGGGACAUUUGGGUCUGAGGUCUUGCUUCACUUUAUCAAACUAUUUCACUGGUUGGCGGGUGUAUUUUAUCAUGUUAGAGCCUUCUUAAACUAGCUCUCAAGUUUCUGUGAUGCGUAAGUCAAUUGGUACGUACGAAAACAUUUUGUAAACUGUUAAGAAGCCAUUGAGAUGGAAGGAUAAUGACACUGAUGAUGCUGAUCACGAUGGAAAAAUAACAGCAUCAAGAGGAAGAAGGCCAAGGAGGGAGGGGAAGGGUGAAAAAAAUGACCUUUCAUUUCACCACGUCAGUAAUGCUUAUGGGCAUUUCUUCCCUAAGGAUUGCCAAUAACUCAGAUUCACACGCUGGCUGGCACUGCUCUCAACUGGCUGUGUAACUUAGGCAAGUUUCUGGCCUCCACUGCUUCAAAUGUAAAUUAAGUAACUUAAGCUAAAGUUCUAAAUUUUGAAAGCCUUCUGAUGUUCAGUAAAGACAGUGAUUUGAUUUCUUUAAAAUUCAAAUGGUAGUAUCCUAUUUAUUUUAAAGCCCCCUGAUGGGGAAGUAACCGUUUUUUAACGAAAUAGAGAACUAGUCAUCAUCAGUUACAAUUACUCUGCUAAGAAAGAAAAAUAAUAAUCUUAGAUAUUUGUUCUUUCAGAACAUACUUAUGUACUAUCUUUAUCUUAUAUUGUUUUCUAACUUAUUAGCCUUGUCCCUCUCAUUACACAAUAAACCUCUUUAGGCAGGAAAAAUUGAUUUUUUUUUCAUUUCCUUCACAGUACCUAGCAACAUAUUGGACAUACGCCAGACAAUAAAAUUUAGACAAAAUAUGUAACAUGUAGAAACUGAACUAUUUUUAUUACAUAGUAAGUGUAAUAAAUACUUAUAUAAUAAAUAUAUAUUUUGCUUUUUAGGGCUACACCUCUGGCAUAUGGAAGUUCCCAGGCUAAUGGUCGAAUCAGAGCUGCAGCUGUCAGCCACAGUCGUAGCCACAGCCACACAGGAUCCAAGCCCAACAACAACAACAACAACAAAAAAAAGACAAAAGACAAAAAAAAACAAAUACUAAAAUAAUUCUUCACUUAUGGGAUAUAUAUCAUUGUAACUGCAUGAGGCAAAGAACCUAAAAUCCUCAUUAAAAAAUACGGUAAUAUUUACGAUAACGUCACCUAUGUAUGACAAUUAGAAAGCCUAAAAAUUACAUAAAAGUAAGAUCUCUAAUAAACCUGUGAUGCAUUUUCAGAUUUUUCCAAGCAUUGUUCCAGGGCAUAAGCUAACAAAGUCUAAUGCUAAGGAAAAGGUAGUUUUCAAUUGCAAAUAAGUUUUAAUUAAAACCUAUCCAAUGGUAAGAUAAUUUACCAAAAAAUUAAUGUAUCUUUAAUCCUACUUCAAUUUAUAAAUACGAAAAAAGGUAGGGAAAAAAAUCACUAAUAAAGAAAUUGGGUAUUAGACAAAUUUUUAAAUGUUUCAACAAACUUCGUUCUUAAGGAAGCUUGAUGGUUGCAAAACAUGAACUAGGACUUCCACUGUAUUUCAGUAAAGGUAAUAAUUUUUUUAAAAACUUGCUAUGAAAAAGAAUUCACCAAAAGCAAAUAAGCCCAUUCAAGUAAAGAGACUAUCUAGCCCACUUCUCCAAAAACCAAUUAGACUGCUGUUUUACCAGGUCUAGUUUUUACGUAUACCACAAGUACAGUGGGAAACAAUUACUAAAUGCCUGUGUUGCACUUUAGUUCAUGGUAAAAAUAUUUUUCUUUUACAGAGAAUAUAAGUAGUAUUGAGCCUCAACUCAAAUGUUGCUCAAUAUACAAAUUUUACUGUUUUUAAUUAUCAGCAAUUUUAAGAGUAUUUUUCUACUGCAAAAGUAGUAUGUGCUUAUAAUUUUUUUUUUUACUGAUAUCAUUAAAAAUAUUCCAUGCUCUACAUGAACCAUAAUGCAAAGUAUAAAGUAAAAAGUAUCUCAAAUUCUACCACCCAGGUAUAAGCCCACAUUUAUCAAUAUUUUGUGUCUUUCCUUCAAGUCUUACCAACUACAUAUAUGUUUUCGCAUAGUUGACUUUAUAUGUGUGUGUCUACGUACAUACAUAGGUGUACACACAUGCACACAUAGAUAGAGAGGAAGAGACAGAUUCUUCCCAGCAUAUUUCUCAAAGGAACUAGAAGAAAGACACUAAUGAACAAUAAUUGCAUGGUACAUAAUGUUUACCAUGGAUGAUUUAUAAAUAUGCCUAACUUUAAAAACUCAAUUCCUCUCAUCAUUUCACGUCAAUUUAAAAGCACAGUAAACUAGAGUUCCCGUUGUGGCUCAGGGGAAACGAAUUUGACUAGUAUCCAUGAGGACGCGGGUUCGAUCCCUGGCCUGGCUCAGUGGGUUAAGGAUCCAGUGUUGCUGUGGCUGUGGUGUAGGCUGGCACCUGCAGCUCUGAUUGGACCCCUAGCCUGGGAACCUCCAUAUGCCAUGGGUGCAGCCCUAAAAAGACAAAAAAAUAAGCACACAGUAAAUCAUCAGUCAAAAUUCUAAGCUAUGACAAUUCCCUUUACAUGGUUCAAGUCUGCCUGGAGAAGGGGGGUGGGGGAUACUCUGUGUAAUCCUCUUGACAGAUUAUCAUAAUCGCCUAGAAAGUUCUGCCAUUACUAGCAAAUGCUACAACAGAAAGGAGCCAGUUAUUAUUUCAUGUGAUAAGCAAGAAUGACAAACAAUUCCACAUGCACUGAGGAUAGGAUACAUGGCUCAAAAAACAGAUCUACUCAUUCUGAGGUAAGAGUGGAUGAAGAUGGGUAAACCUGCCAGAAACAGUCCAAGGCUGAGCUCACAGCCCAAGCUAAGAAUCCAACUGGUUAGGACACAAGCGAGGCAAGAACCUGUCUGUGCAAGAAUAACAUUCACCUUGUUCACCAGGUGAGCACCCAGAAUUCACCCAUGUCAGAGACAAAGCAUAGUAUGAUGCUGCCGUGAUGCCCUGAUCUGGGAAAGGCAUCCGUGAGGGCAAACCUCACUGUCGGUUUCACACCCUGCCGAACACAGCUCCCAGAACCAGUGUAGAAAGCUGAGAAGCUGCCACUUCCGGCUCGCAGACUCUCCACGUCUCAGGAGCUACACCAGAGUUAGACGCCCACGAGGGUUCAUGUGCUCAAGUAUGACUCCCAACGGGUGCAGCAGUCCCACGCUAUGAAGCGGAAGCCAAAGCACAGCCGGUCCCAGAAGCGCACCAUCUGACAGAGCUGCCCAUCUGAGGAGAGAAAAACCACGACGACCUCCCGAAGCAGCCGUCAGAGGGGUCCACGCCUACGCGUUAAUGCUGGUCAACCAACUUCUAUUCAGGGAAGACUUGGUCCCUGUGAACAUGUCCCCAGAGUGGUUAAUAGGAAAUUCUCCUCGACAUGCCCCUAGGGUUGACUGGGUAUUGAAAUCUACGGCUGACUCAGUGCCCACUCCCGGAAAUGCUCCAGGUGGGGCCGUGAAAUGCCUUAGUAACGACCAACGUGGGGCUCUAAGUGGGCUCAACUCAAACACUCCUUCCAGACCUUCCAAGUCCUUAAGGGCCAGAUAAGCAGGUGAAAAGAAAACAUGGGUCCACCUUCCUUUGUGGGCCUCUCCCAUCCUCCACUCAGUGGUUAAUCGGGAGGGAUUAUGAUUCUUCCCGUACUGGGGGGCAGCGCUUGAUCCCACCAAUAACCUCCCGUUACACAAACUUCAGCAAUUAAAGGGAUGGAAAGGCAUUCAAAGAAGAAAAGUUAAGUUUCCUGGUAUUAAACAGGGGAAAAAAAAAAAAAAAAAAAACCAGUGGUCAGGGAUACCAGAGUCUCUCUCCUAGAAUCACCUCCUCUCCACGUUAGUCUUCAGGUGCUGAGAUCUCAAAUUGUGCUGACGCUACUCACUGCGUGUGAUUACACCUAUUUCGCCUCACUGUGCGUUUAAACAGUUUCACUCACAGUUGAAUCUGCAUGUGUUAUAGGAAUGUUAGAAAAGUUAUAAUAACCUCUGGAGAAACUGGCACGAGGUAGAAACUGGACAUCAGGGCCUCUGCCUCAUCUCAGAAGCCACAGCAU